UGACCCCUCCCAUCGCUGUCAUCCUCCACCACCAAGCUCCACAACAGCAUCACGCCUCCUUCUUCUUUCCCCUCCCUUAAAUCCAUCUGAGGUCCCCAAGCAAACCCUAGCCUCCUCUAUAUUCCCCUCCUCGCGCCGCCGCUGAACUUUCACCUCUCCCAGGAAACAAACUCAGUUGAAAUUUCAGUAAACAUCGCCGGAGGAAUCGCCACAGCGUCGCCAGUUUCCGUCGCCGUUCGCCGAGCUGAGUACCAGGAUGGAGUCCCCGUGGCCUCCUUUUCCUCCUCGUUGAGUCCUCGGAGCAGGAGCAGCUCCGGGACGCCGUUUUCGUCUUCGUCUUCUCCGGUGCCGUACGUGCGCACCAUCGACGUCCGCUUCACCACGCCGUCGGUUCAGACCACUUUGUGCUCUCCCGCUUCGCCGUCGACCUCCUGGUGGUCACCGCCGCGCUCAUCUAUUUUCCCCGGCGUCAUCUCAAGUCCCUGAGCCGUUCUUCUUCACCAUCGAGCCCCUGGCAUUUGCUUCUUUCCGGAUAGGAUCACGAAGUGGUGAUGUGAGAUAGACGAGUUCUCUGACAAAUUCUUCUGCAACUUUUCACAGG